CUUUGCUUUUUUAUAGACUGGAUUUAUAUAUUCAUAACUAAAAUUAGGUUAAAUUUUUUUUUUACAGAGUUAAAUAUUUAGAUUGAUGAAAGAUGUAUAAUAGUGACAGGGAUUAGAUACCCCAUUAAUGUACAUUGUAGCUUUGUCUUAGUUAAUAUAACUAAAAUAAUUUGGCAGUGAGCGACUCUUUUUAGGGGAAGGUGUGGUGUAAAGGAUGUUCCGCCUAAUAAUUUACUUUCGUUAUGUUGGUGUAUAUCUGGUUUAAUAUUAUCGUUGAGUAAGUGAGUUUGUGUAGUUUUAUUUAAGCCAAGUCUAUGUGCUGCUUAUGAAAGUAUUCAUGCGUUACAUUUAUAAGGUUUUGGUUGUAAUACUAAAAUAUUUAGGACUUAAAAGUAAUGUUCAAUAAGUUUGUGAGUGUGAAGUAAGUUUAGCUCAUG
rnacentral:rRNA from 1 species